rnacentral:rRNA from 1 species
AACGAACGCUGGCGGCAUGUCUAACACAUGCAAGUCGAACGAGAUCUUCGGGUCUAGUGGCGCACGGGUGCGUAACGCGUGGGAAUCUGCCCUUUGGUUCGGAAUAACAGUUGGAAACGACUGCUAAUACCGGAUGAUGACGAAAGUCCAAAGAUUUAUCGCCAGAGGAUGAGCCCGCGUAGGAUUAGCUAGUUGGUGUGGUAAAGGCGCACCAAGGCGACGAUCCUUAGCUGGUCUGAGAGGAUGAUCAGCCACACUGGGACUGAGACACGGCCCAGACUCCUACGGGAGGCAGCAGUGGGGAAUAUUGGACAAUGGGCGAAAGCCUGAUCCAGCAAUGCCGCGUGAGUGAUGAAGGCCUUAGGGUUGUAAAGCUCUUUUACCCGGGAUGAUAAUGACAGUACCGGGAGAAUCAGCUCCGGCUAACUCCGUGCCAGCCGCCGCAGUAA